rnacentral:rRNA from 1 species
CGGGGUGCAGCAGGCGCGAAAACUUUACACUGCGGGAAACCGCGAUAAGGGGACCCCGAGUGCCAGCACCUAGUGCUGGCUGUCCAGUUGUCCAAAUAACAACUGUUAGCAAGGGCCGGGCAAGACCGGUGCCAGCCGCCGCGGUAACACCGGCGGCCCGAGUGGUAGCCGCUAUUAUUGGGUUUAAAGGGUCCGUAGCCGGCUUAUUAAGUCUUUUGGGAAAUCUGGCGGCUCAAUCGUCAGGCGUCCAAAAGGUACUGGUAGGCUUGGGACCGGGAGAGGUGGGAGGUACUCCAGGGGUAGGGGUGAAAUCUCGUAAUCCUUGGGGGACCACCGAUGGCGAAGGCAUCCCACCAGAACGGGUCCGACGGUGAGGGACGAAAGCUGGGGGCACGAACCGGAUUAGAUACCCGGGUAGUCCCAGCUGUAAACGAUGCUCGCUAGGUGCCAGGUGCGGUGCGACCGCAUCUGGUGCCGCAGUGAAAACUUGAAGCGAGUCACCUGGGAAGUACGGUCGCAAGGCUGAAACUUAAAGGAAUUGGCGGGGGAGCAC